AAUGAUAGGUAACCAAUCUUACGCUCUAGUAUGCAUCAUCUGAAUGUUGAUGACACUGGUCAUACUUCAAGAGCUGCAGAAUCUUGUCAAAGCUCUCAAACCACCAUGGCAUUUCAGUACCCCAGGCCCAAAGAUCUUAGUGAAGUUGCAUGGUUGAAUUGGGAUGGUAUGUCAUGUGUUUGUAUCAUUUUGGUAUAUAUGAGAACGUAUUACUAAAAUCACA